rnacentral:rRNA from 1 species
GACGAACGCUGGCGGCGUGCUUAACACAUGCAAGUCGAACGGUAAGGCCCUUCGGGGUACACGAGUGGCGAACGGGUGAGUAACACGUGGGUGAUCUGCCCUGCACUUCGGGAUAAGCCUGGGAAACUGGGUCUAAUACCGGAUAGGACCACUGCCUGCAUGGGUGGUGGUGGAAAGCUUUUGCGGUGUGGGAUGGGCCUGCGGCCUAUCAGCUGGUUGGUGGGGUGAUGGCCUAGCAAGGCGACGACGGGUAGCCGGCCUGAGAGGGUGACCGGCCACACUGGGACUGAGUUACGGCCCAGACUCCUACGGGAGGCAGCAGUGGGGAAUAUUGCACAAUGGGCGCAAGCCUGAUGCAGCGACGCCGCGUGAGGGAUGCCGGCCUUCGGGUUGUAUACCUCUUUCAGCACCGACGAAGCGCAAGUGACGGUAGGUGCAGAAGAAGGACCGGCCAACUACGUGCCAGCCGCCGCCGUAA